rnacentral:rRNA from 1 species
GGGAUAACUAGUCGAAAGAUUAGCUAAUACCGCAUACGACCUGAGGGUGAAAGUGGGGGACCGCAAGGCCUCAUGCUAUAGGAGCGGCCGAUGUCUGAUUAGCUAGUUGGUGAGGUAAAGGCUCACCAAGGCGACGAUCAGUAGCUGGUCUGAGAGGACGAUCAGCCACACUGGGACUGAGACACGGCCCAGACUCCUACGGGAGGCAGCAGUGGGGAAUUUUGGACAAUGGGCGAAAGCCUGAUCCAGCAAUGCCGCGUGUGUGAAGAAGGCCUUCGGGUUGUAAAGCACUUUUGUCCGGAAAGAAAUGGCUCUGGUUAAUACCUGGGGUCGAUGACGGUACCGGAAGAAUAAGGACCGGCUAACUACGCGCCAGCAGCCGCGGUAAUACGUAGGGUCCAAGCGUUAAUCGGAAUUACUGGGCGUAAAGCGUGCGCAGGCGGUUGUGCAAGACCGAUGUGAAAUCCCCGAGCUUAACUUGGGAAUUGCAUUGGUGACUGCACGGCUAGAGUGUGUCAGAGGGGGGUAGAAUUCCACGUGUAGCAGUGAAAUG